AGCAGCCGCGGUAAUUCCAGCUCCAAUAGCGUAUAUUAAAGUUGUUGCAGUUAAAAAGCUCGUAGUUGAAUUUCGGGAUCAAUACGUCGGUCGUGCUUCGGUACGUACUGGCGUCAUUGAUUUCUCCCUUCUGACGAACCAUGAUGUCAUUAACUUGGUGUCUUGGGAAAUCAGGACUGUUACUUUGAAAAAAUUAGAGUGUUUAAAGCAGGCUCACGCUUGAAUACAUUAGCAUGGAAUAAUGAAAUAGGACGUUUGAUUCUAUUUUGUUGGUUUCUAGGAUCGACGUAAUGAUUAAUAGGGAUAGUUGGGGGCAUUAGUAUUCAAUUGUCAGAGGUGAAAUUCUUGGAUUUAUUGAAGACUAACUACUGCGAAAGCAUUUGCCAAGGAUGUUUUCAUUAAUCAAGAACGAAAGUUAGGGGUAUCGAAGACGAUCAGGAUACCGUCGUAGUCUUAACCAUAAACUAUGCCGACUAGGAAUCAGACGAUGUUAAUUUUUUAAUGACUC
rnacentral:rRNA from 1 species